ensembl:lncRNA
AUCAAUACUGCACACAGCUGAGAAACUGGCAAAGGUCUUCUGUGCGUCUGUGCUGCAUUUGCGAAACACCAGCAACUCCCACGACCGGUUCACCGUGUCCGGCGACUGGACGUGCCACAAACGAAAGGAGCGCUGAGUACCCGGGGCUGUCCUGUUCUAUGUGAAAACAGAACCAGUCUCUCAGCUUGCACUGGGACAGGGCUUUUAGGGACGUGCUAAUAUGCUACCGUGCUCUGCAGGGGAAGCUGAACACGGGGGAGUUUGACUAUAGUGAAUCUGCUCCAUGCGCCUUGACACUGCACUACAUUGACAGUGGUGUUGUGCUUGAAUUGAAGUUGGCUGUUGAGGUCCAGGUCAAGUGAAGGAGCUGAUAUGUGCGAU